GAUGAACGCUGGCGGCGUGCCUAAUACAUGCAAGUCGAGCGAACAGACGAGGAGCUUGCUCCUCUGACGUUAGCGGCGGACGGGUGAGUAACACGUGGAUAACCUACCUAUAAGACUGGGAUAACUUCGGGAAACCGGAGCUAAUACCGGAUAACAUGUUGAACCGCAUGGUUCAACAGUGAAAGACGGUCUUGCUGUCACUUAUAGAUGGAUCCGCGCCGCAUUAGCUAGUUGGUAAGGUAACGGCUUACCAAGGCAACGAUGCGUAGCCGACCUGAGAGGGUGAUCGGCCACACUGGAACUGAGACACGGUCCAGACUCCUACGGGAGGCAGCAGUAGGGAAUCUUCCGCAAGGGGCGAAAGCCUGACGGAGCAACGCCGCGUGAGUGAAGAAGGUCUUCGGAUCGUAAAACUCUGUUAUUAGGGAAGAACAAAUGUGUAAGUAACGAUGCACGUCUUGACGGUACCUAAUCAGAAAGCCACGGCGAACUACGU
rnacentral:rRNA from 1 species